CCUGGCUCACGUACGAACGCUGGCGGCGCGCCUAACACAUGCAAGUCGAACGAGCGAGAGAGAGCUUGCUUUCUUGAGCGAGUGGCGAACGGGUGAGUAACGCGUGAGGAACCUGCCUCAAAGAGGGGGACAACAGUUGGAAACGACUGCUAAUACCGCAUAAGCCCACAGCUCGGCAUCGAGCAGAGGGAAAAGGAGCAAUCCGCUUUGAGAUGGCCUCGCGUCCGAUUAGCUAGUUGGUGAGGUAACGGCCCACCAAGGCGACGAUCGGUAGCCGGACUGAGAGGUUGAACGGCCACAUUGGGACUGAGACACGGCCCAGACUCCUACGGGAGGCAGCAGUGGGGAAUAUUGCACAAUGGGGGAAACCCUGAUGCAGCGACGCCGCGUGGAGGAAGAAGGUCUUCGGAUUGUAAACUCCUGUUGUUGAGGAAGAUAAUGACGGUACUCAACAAGGAAGUGACGGCUAACUACGUGCCAGCAGCCGCGGUAAAACGUAGGUCACAAACGUUGUCCGGAAUUACUGGGUGUAAAGGGAGCGCAGGCGGGAGAACAAGUUGGAAGUGAAAUCCAUGGGCUCAACCCAUGAACUGCUUUCAAAACUGUUUUUCUUGAGUAGUGCAGAGGUAGGCGGAAUUCCCGGUGUAGCGGUGGAAUGCGUAGAUAUCGGGAGGAACACCAGUGGCGAAGGCGGCCUACUGGGCACCAACUGACGCUGAGGCUCGAAAGUGUGGGUAGCAAACAGGAUUAGAUACCCUGGUAGUCCACACCGUAAACGAUGAUUACUAGGUGUUGGAGGAUUGACCCCUUCAGUGCCGCAGUUAACACAAUAAGUAAUCCACCUGGGGAGUACGACCGCAAGGUUGAAACUCAAAGGAAUUGACGGGGGCCCGCACAAGCAGUGGAGUAUGUGGUUUAAUUCGACGCAACGCGAAGAACCUUACCAAGUCUUGACAUCCCUUGACGAACAUAGAAAUAUGUUUUCUCUUCGGAGCAAGGAGACAGGUGGUGCAUGGUUGUCGUCAGCUCGUGUCGUGAGAUGUUGGGUUAAGUCCCGCAACGAGCGCAACCCUUAUGGUCAGUUACUACGCAAGAGGACUCUGGCCAGACUGCCGUUGACAAAACGGAGGAAGGUGGGGAUGACGUCAAAUCAUCAUGCCCUUUAUGACUUGGGCUACACACGUACUACAAUGGCGUUAAACAAAGAGAAGCAAGACCGCGAGGUGGAGCAAAACUCAGAAACAACGUCCCAGUUCGGACUGCAGGCUGCAACUCGCCUGCACGAAGUCGGAAUUGCUAGUAAUCGUGGAUCAGCAUGCCACGGUGAAUACGUUCCCGGGCCUUGUACACACCGCCCG
rnacentral:rRNA from 1 species